UACGAAGGGGGCUAGCGUUGCUCGGAAUCACUGGGCGUAAAGCGCACGUAGGCGGAUUGCUAAGUCAGGGGUGAAAUCCUGGAGCUCAACUCCAGAACUGCCCUUGAUACUGGCGGUCUCGAGUCCGGGAGAGGUGAGUGGAACUGCGAGUGUAGAGGUGAAAUUCGUAAAUAUUCGCAAGAACACCAGUGGCGAAGGCGGCUCACUGGCCCGGUACUGACGCUGAGGUGCGAAAGCGUGGGGAGCAAACAGG
rnacentral:rRNA from 1 species